rnacentral:hammerhead_ribozyme from 1 species
AUCCAACUGAUGAGUCCCAAGUAGGACGGGACGCGCGUCCUGUAU